GUCGGUGGAUAAGGGAUAUAAAGGGACAGUGCAGCAAACCUAACCAACUGAUCUAAUUGAUCAGUUCAUUGAUUGCUGGAAAUCCAAAAACAUGAUGUGACUGUGGCACUCCAGGACCAGGAAUUCAUACUUCUGGGCUAAGGUGUAGGCUGGGUUGAGAUCCAGGGGUUGAGUGGUGAUGAUGGCUGGGUGGAGGCCAAUGGAUAUGUGAAGGUUGGAGGGAAGGAGGGAUCAAUACCAGGGGUGAUGGAGGGGUGGUUGCUGGGGUUGUUGGGUUUGGUGGAGGCUGUGGUAAGACUGUGGGGGAGUAGGGGUGGAUACUAAGGGUGUUUGGUGGAGUGGAGGAUGGGGAAGGCUUGAUGCAGUAAGGGUAUAUUCUGAGUUCAGCUACAUUCUACAGUAGGUUACUCUCCCAUAUGGCUAAGUUGAUUGUUCAGCUACAGUAGGUUACUCUCCCAUAUGGCUGAGUUGACUGUUCAGCUACUGUAGGUUACUCUCCCAUGUUACUGUAGGUUACUCUCCCAUGCUACUGUAGGUUACUCUCCCAUGUUACUGUAGGUUACUCUCCCAUUCUACUGUAGGUUACUCUCCCAUUCUACUGUAGGUUACUCUCCCAUGCUACUGUAGGUUACUCUCCCAUGCUACUGUAGGUUACUCUCCCAUGAUACUGUAGGUUACUCUCCCAUGCUACUGUAGGUUACUCUCCCAUGUUACUGUAGGUUACUCUCCCAUGCUACUGUAGGUUACUCUCCCAUGUUACUCUCCCAUGAUACUGUAGGUUACUC
ensembl:lncRNA